AUUGAACGCUGGCGGCAGGCCUAACACAUGCAAGUCGAGCGGAUGAAGGGAGCUUGCUCCUGGAUUCAGCGGCGGACGGGUGAGUAAUGCCUAGGAAUCUGCCUGGUAGUGGGGGAUAACGUCCGGAAACGGGCGCUAAUACCGCAUACGUCCUGAGGGAGAAAGUGGGGGAUCUUCGGACCUCACGCUAUCAGAUGAGCCUAGGUCGGAUUAGCUAGUUGGUGGGGUAAAGGCCUACCAAGGCGACGAUCCGUAACUGGUCUGAGAGGAUGAUCAGUCACACUGGAACUGAGACACGGUCCAGACUCCUACGGGAGGCAGCAGUGGGGAAUAUUGCACAAUGGGCGAAAGCCUGAUCCAGCCAUGCCGCGUGUGUGAAGAAGGUCUUCGGAUUGUAAAGCACUUUAAGUUGGGAGGAAGAGCAGUAAGUUUAUACCUUGCUGUUUUGACGUUACCAACAGAAUAAGCACCGGCUAACUUCGUG
rnacentral:rRNA from 1 species